AUCCGCCGCCCGCCUGUGAAUCAUUUAGACGACUCUCGGCAACGGAUAUCUCGGCUCUCGCAUCGAUGAAGAACGUAGCGAAAUGCGAUACUUGGUGUGAAUUGCAGAAUCCCGUGAACCAUCGAGUCUUUGAACGCAAGUUGCGCCCGAGGCCACUCGGCCGAGGGCACGCCUGCCUGGGCGUCACGCCACCCAUCGCCACCCCCCCGCGGCAUUCCCAUGCCGCGCCGGGGAGCGGAGACUGGCCGUCCGUGCCCGAGCCCUCGGCGCGCGGUCGGCAGAAAAGGAGGACACCGUGCGGCGAGACACGGCGUGUGGGGGUUGAGAGGCGACUCGUCGCCGAUCGUACGUCGCGCCCGCAUUCCGCCGCGCGCAGUGUCACCCGUGGGACCGGACUCGCCCGCAGCCGCGGGCGCUCGG
rnacentral:rRNA from 1 species